AUAUAUACACAGAGCAUGGAAAUUGCAGGAAUAUGAUGUGCUCCACUACACUAAUAGUAAUACACCUUUAGCAAUAAUAAUGCUCUCUCCAAAGAAAUCACCCCUCUUUCUUCUUCCCUUGCAUAUCUCCAUCUUUGCUACAAGAAACAUCUGCAAAUCUCGAUCUCCAGUUUCUGUGCAAUUGGAUUCGAAGCUCAAAUAUCUUCACCAAUGCCGUCACUCAAGCUGACAUUUUUGGGCGUCUUCAUGCUCGUAGCAACAGUGGCAGCUCACGGGAGCAAUUGCACAUCACACGAGAACAAUUGCACGUCACAUCAGAACAAUUGCACGACUCAAGAGGAUUGCGAUCGUCUACAAAUAGCGUGUCUAGAGUUUACAUUCCCGGAACAUGUAUACUGUGUCCACAGAGAGUGCCAGUGCAAGACCUUAGACGAGUGCGCCUUAUACAAAUAUUGUGGACCCGUGGCCAACACAACACCGAACCCCUCAUCGGACCAUGCACCCACAGCCACAACACCGGAAUUUGUCGGAGUCUAUGUACUCUUGCUCCAAUUAGUGUAUUUUAUUUUUCUUUGAUGUUGGAUUAAAGUAGAAAAAAAAAAUUAAGUAUUUAUGACUUUUGUAAUAUUUGUAAUGAAUUUUUACUAUGACUUUAAUUAUUUGUAUUCUAUUAAACUAAUCAUAAUUAGGGUACCAUAAUUUGUGCUUGUUCGCUUGUCCGA